CCGGAGACGUGACUGUAUCACCAGGCACAACAUUUGUUUGCGAAAUGUCGUCAUAUUCCUGAAUCACAACGUAAAAAUUUCAGCAUUCGUAUCGUACAAAUGCGGAUAGCUUGUUGCUCGAAGCCAAGGAGCAGAAAUUGAUUGAAGAUAUUACAGCCCCUAUGAAAUUAGACCGAAAACUAUUUGCAGAUGACAAAUCUUACCGAAAAUAUUUAGAGUGUUUUGCAGAAUUAGAAGGAAGCACUACAGUCGUCACCAUGCGUUGUUUUGAUUUAGAAAAAAAAUGUGAGACACUCAUAAGACGUGAGGAGGAUCUUCUUAUAGACACGGUAAAUAGUCUAUGAAUUAUUGA